rnacentral:rRNA from 1 species
UGGUGCCAGCAGCCGCGGUAAUUCCAGCUCCAAUAGCGUAUAUUAAAGUUGUUGCAGUUAAAAAGCUCGUAGUUGAAUUUCGGGAUCAAUAUAUCGGUCGUGCCUUGUGUACGUACUGGUAUCAUUGAUUUCUCCCUUCUGACGAAUCAUGAUGUCAUUAAUUUGGUGUUAUGAGGAGUUAGGACUGUUACUUUGAAAAAAUUAGAGUGUUUAAAGCAGGCAUUAGCUUGAAUACAUUAGCAUGGAAUAAUGAAAUAGGACGUUUGACCCUAUUUUGUUGGUUUCUAGGAUCGACGUAAUGAUUAAUAGGGAUAGUUGGGGGCAUUAGUAUUCAAUUGUCAGAGGUGAAAUUCUUGGAUUUAUUGAAGACUAACUACUGCGAAAGCAUUUGCCAAGGAUGUUUUCAUUAAUCAAGAACGAAAGUUAGGGGAUCGAAGACGAUCAGAUACCGUCGUAGUCUUAACCAUAAACUAUGCCGACUAGGGAUCGGAUGAUGUUAAUUUUAUAAUGACUCAUUCGGCGCC